UGGUCCGUCGCCUUCGCGCAGGUUUUUAUUUCCUUGAACCGAUGCUCUCUGGAGCCCGGGCUUGGAACAUCGUCGGGCUGGUGUGAGCGUCUCGCGUCAGAUGAACCCGAAGCCCAACUGACCUCGCCCACCUGAAUCCCCUGGGUUCAGGAAUGCGGCCUGCGGCUGGCGGCGGACACC
rnacentral:other from 1 species